CCCCUAGAUGUUCUGGGCCGCACGCGCGCUACACUGAACAGUUCAACAAGUCUUAACCUUGGCCGAUAGGUCUGGGUAAUCUUUGAACGCUGUUCGUGAUUGGGAUAGACCUUUGCAAUUAUGGGUCUUCAACGAGGAAUUCCUAGUAAACGCAGUUCAUCAAACUGCAUUGAUUACGUCCCUGCCCUUUGUACACACCGCCCGUCGCACCUACCGAUUGAAUGGUCCGGUGAAGCCUCGGGAUUGUGGCUGGUUUCCUUUAUUGGAGGUCGGUUGCGAGAACUUGUCUAAACCUUAUCAUUUAGAGGAAGGUGAAGUCGUAACA
rnacentral:rRNA from 1 species